UCCGUGUUUCACCGGCGAGAGAGACCAUGGAGAGAGAGAAUUAAAGCAUUGACGGUGUCUAUCACGGUUAACACGGCGGCGGCAACUAGAUGGACGCUGAUUCUUGCCGGAGAGAGAAACCCAACUUUGAUUACCCUCAAAGCGAAUCACUUGCUAACGAUGGUGUUGGGGAAGCUGGUGGCAAUAGUAGAGAUCCGAGCCGUGGUGAGACUAUGUGGUUAGGAGGUCUAGCUUGUAGCGAUAGGGACUAAUACCACCGCCACGCAGCGCCGGAUAUGAAAGGUUGCGACUCCUAAGCCCGAUAAAGUGGGAUGGAAGAGAGUAGUGAGGAUAUUUGCCAAGCAGCUUCUGAUUUAAACUCAAGGUUGCAUUACCACUAAGGAGCUGGGGAUUGUGAUGUGUUGUUCUCUUGGAAAAAACCCAACCGAAGCAGAGCUUCAAGACAUGAUUAAUGAAGUGGAUGUGGAUGGUAAUGGUACCAUUGAUUUCCUUGAGGUCUUGAAAUUGCUGCUGAGUAUGGCUAUAUUCUAAGUAAUUGCAGAGCAUGUGAUGGAACUUUAAACCAAGAUGACUAAUGGAUCAACAAUCAAAAAGACAAGGAGACUGCUCUUGUUUGGAGUUACA